rnacentral:rRNA from 1 species
AGAGUUUGAUCAUGGCUCAGAGCGAACGCUGGCGGCAUGCUUAACACAUGCAAGUCGCACGGGCACUUCGGUGUCAGUGGCGGACGGGUGAGUAACGCGUAGGUAUCUGUCCUGAGGUGGGGGAUAACGGUUGGAAACGACUGCUAAUACCGCAUGAUGACUGAGGUCCAAAGGCGCAAGUCGCCUUGGGAGGAGCCUGC